rnacentral:lncRNA from 1 species
GUAGGCCCGUGCCCCUGCUCGCGCUGCAGCCCGUGGAAGGGUUCCGUCCAGCGUAUCCUUCAGAUCUUGCUGUAGGCCUCUGGUGUCUGUGCGCGCGCGGCAGGGGCGGCGGCGGCGACGGCCGGAGGUGUACGGUCAGCGGGUUGCGGAGGAUCGUGCGGGUCGCAAAGGGAAGCCGAGUGCUCCUGCGGCUCCCAGACUGCAACCAGUUGCUUCCUCUACUGAAGUCUUGAAACCCCUGAAAGUCAUCCCUGAGGUUUGAAGUUAACUUCUUCUACACCCUGUUAAUGUUGAUAUUUUGACCUCC